CCUACGGGUGGCAGCAGUCGAGAAUCAUUCACAAUGGGGGAAACCCUGAUGGUGCGACGCCGCGUGGGGGAAUGAAGGUCUUCGGAUUGUAAACCCCUGUCAUGUGGGAGCAAAUUAAAAAGAUAGUACCACAAGAGGAAGAGACGGCUAACUCUGUGCCAGCAGCCGCGGUAAUACAGAGGUCUCAAGCGUUGUUCGGAAUCACUGGGCGUAAAGCGUGCGUAGGCUGUUUCGUAAGUCGUGUGUGAAAGGUGCGGGCUCAACCCGCGGACGGCACAUGAUACUGCGAGACUAGAGUAAUGGAGGGGGAGCCGGAAUUCUCGGUGUAGCAGUGAAAUGCGUAGAUAUCGAGAGGAACACUCGUGGCGAAGGCGGGUUCCUGGACAUUAACUGACGCUGAGGCACGAAGGCCAGGGGAGCGAAAGGGAUUAGAUACCCCGGUAGUC
rnacentral:rRNA from 1 species